rnacentral:rRNA from 1 species
CUGCUGCCUCCCGUAGGAGUCUGGGCCGUGUCUCAGUCCCAAUGUGGCCGGUCAACCUCUCAGUCCGGCUACUGAUCGUCGCCUUGGUGGGCCGUUACCCCGCCAACCAGCUAAUCAGACGCGAGUCCAUCUCAGAGCGAUAAAUCUUUGGCAGUCAGAGCCAUGCGGCCCAACUGCAUUAUGCGGUAUUAGCACAUCUUUCGAUGUGUUAUUCCCCACUCCAAGGCAGGUUACUCACG